AUGGAUGUUGACACGUGUGCUAGCUGCCUUGUUUCCCACUGGAUGUCACUACCUAAUUUUGAGCCUCCUGCCUCUUUUCUUGCUCAUCCACACCUACCCGACAGCAUCUCAUCUCCAUAGUAUUCCAUUUUGUCUCACCCCUUCCCACCGUGGAGGAUGUGGAUGUUGGGCCGAUGCCCAACAGCCCCUGCCCUCCAAGGGGAGGAGAGACGACCACAGGGAGGCUGAAGGCGUUUCCUCCCUUUGGACUGCAAUGGUUGAAGCAUUGUUUCCUGCAGAGAUGUGGCACUGGAACAGCACUAAGUAGCAGCAUGCCUCUGCAGGAUCUGGCUCUAAAACCAAGAUCUAAGCAUGGCUGUAGGAUAAUGCAUCUCUCCUGCUCCUUGCCCUGGUGACCACUGCAGAGAAACACAGAAAAAAAGUGACACGUCACAGCACUGCAGCCCACCACAGAGCACCCUGAUGUCCUGGUGAGCGCCUAACCGGAUA
ensembl:lncRNA